rnacentral:rRNA from 1 species
AAUUUUGGACAAUGUGGGAAACCCUGAUCCAGUCAUCCCGCGUGUUUGAUGAAGGCCUUCGGGUUGUAAAGUACUGUUUGCAGAUAAGAAAAGGUACCCCCUAAUACGGGAUACUGCUGACGGUAUCUCCAGAAUAAUCACCGGCUAACUAUGUGCUAGCAGCCGCGGUAAUACGUAUGGUGCAAGCGUUAAUCGGAAUUACUGGGCGUAAAGCGUGUGUAGGCGGUUCGGAAGGAAAGAUGUGAAAUCCCAGGGCUCAACCUUGGAACUGCAUUUUUAACUGCCGAGCUAGAGUAUGUCAGAGGGGGGUAGAAUUCCACGUGUAGCAGUGAAAUGCGUAGAUAUGUGGAGGAAUACCGAUGGCGAAGGCAGCCCCCUGGGAUAAUACUGACGCUCAGACACGAAAGCGUGGGGAGCAAACAGG